rnacentral:rRNA from 1 species
AACGAACGCUGGCGGCAUGCCUAACACAUGCAAGUCGAACGAGACCUUCGGGUCUAGUGGCGCACGUGUGCGUAACGCGUGGGAACCUGCCCUUAGGUUCGGAAUAACUCCCCGAAAGGGGUGCUAAUACCGGAUAAUGUCUUCGGACCAAAGAUUUAUCGCCUUUGGAUGGGCCCGCGUUGGAUUAGCUAGUUGGUAGGGUAAAAGCCUACCAAGGCGACGAUCCAUAGCUGGUCUGAGAGGAUGACCAGCCACACUGGGACUGAGACACGGCCCAGACUCCUACGCGAGGCAGCAGUGGGGAAUAUUGGGCAAUGGGCGAAAGCCUGAUCCAGCAAUGCCGCGUGAGUGAUGAAGGCCUUAGGGUUGUAAAGCUCUUUUACCCGGGAUGAUAAUGACAGUACCGGGAGAAUAAGCACCGGCUAACUCCGUG